rnacentral:rRNA from 1 species
GACGAACGCUGGCGGCGUGCUUAACACAUGCAAGUCGCGGGGCAGCAUGGGGGUUGCUUGCAAUCCCCGAUGGCGACCGGCGCACGGGUGAGUAACGCGUAUCCAACCUGCCCUUCACCACGGGAUAACCCGGCGAAAGUCGGACUAAUACCGUAUGUUGUCCAUUGACGGCAUCCGAUUUGGACGAAAGGUUUGGCGGUGAAGGAUGGGGAUGCGUCCGAUUAGCUGGACGGCGGGGUGACGGCCCACCGUGGCGACGAUCGGUAGGGGUUCUGAGAGGAAGGUCCCCCACACUGGAACUGAGACACGGUCCAGACUCCUACGGGAGGCAGCAGUGAGGAAUAUUGGUCAAUGGGCGUAAGCCUGAACCAGCCAAGUAGCGUGCAGGAUGACGGCCCUAUGGGUUGUAAACUGCUUUUAUGCGGGGAUAAAGUGGCCCACGUGUGGGUUUUUGCAGGUACCGCAUGAAUAAGGACCGGCUAAUUCCGU